UUCUCGUUCAGUCUGGCCUUUGUUUGUUCUAGCUUUGCGUAUAGACCGAUCCGUAAGAGUCCGCGUCCGGAAAAUAGUUUUCAUCGGUAGUUAGCCCCUGCUGCCCCGUUCUAGGGGUACGUAUGUUACGAGGCACAUAGCUACAAGUCUUUUCAUAUGCAUACCAAACCGUAGGCACCAUCGACGUAUAUGCCCACACAGUACGGACGUCUACGUACAGCCCGCCAGUCACACAAAUCAUGCCAAUUCCAUGGCGGCGCUUCGAGCUCUACUAUUUAUAGUUUUGAAAAGAUUUCGGGCAAAUAGAACUCAACGGGUCUCCGCGAGUACAGGCGCAACAUUAUAAUCUGUCUUCAACAAUGAUACCCGCUAUAUAUACAGGUUUUGAAGUAAGUUAAUUAGCAUGUGUACGGCAAGUCUAAGUAAACGACGAAGCGUUGUUUUGAUCUGAAGCUUAAUGAAGCGCCGGCUGCGCACACAUCGUAUUAUGGAUACUGAUCUCAGCUUCACGGAAGAGAAUGAGGCGCGAGUCAGGACAAAGGAUCAAGCGGAGAUUCCAGGAGGACGCCGAUCCAUUAAAGUUCAGAGAGCGAUCCGUUUUCGAGAUAAGUAAGCCCGCGCACUCCAAAUGGACAAAUUGGCCUCAUGAUGGGCAACUGCCGUCGUGGAAUUUCGUAACUGUUCUAUGGAUAGCUACAUCGUCGUCUACAUUAAUUGAUAUAUACAAAAUUACCUACAAUAUUGCGUUCAAGUUUGAUGGGGCUGUGCCGGAAAGAUCCACUCGGGUCAUUACAGGCCACGGCCGGUUUAGCUUUGUCCUGGCAAGAUCGUUCGGUUUGCGUCCUCAGUUAGCACCGCAGGUACAUGCCAACGUUAAGCCUAAGUCCUCUGGCUUGACACCACGUUCGAUCAAACUACUACAUUGAAGAAUAUUUUACUAAAUGUGAUCGUUGGUACAGCUGUCCCACAUUGCAUUUUAAAGCACCAGCUAAUUGGGCAUUUUGUUUUUUUUUUGAGAAUGAAUUUAAAAGGUUGAAGAUUUCAUGAAACUCCUCUUGGCUCCGAAAACUUUUCUCGGUUGACACGCUGGAAAACAAUAUCCCUCUG
rnacentral:lncRNA from 1 species